ACUUUUCAAGGCAGAUGCUCAGAAACCAACCAGCUUGUGAUCAGGCCCGGAGCUGCAUCUUCUGUGACCUGUUCUUCAAUGGGAAGAAUGGACAGACUCCUGGGAAUGUCAGUGGUGACAUUAUGGCUGCAACUGACAAGGGUGAACAGCCUGCAAGGAGAAGAGAAUCCUUGGGCCUUGAGCAUCCAGGAGGGUGAAAAUGUCACUGUGAACUGCAGUUAUAAAACAUCCAUAGCUGCCAUACAGUGGUACAGACAGGACUCAGGCAAAGGCCCUACCAUGCUCAUCUUAAUACGCUCAAAUGAGAAAGAGAAACAGAGUGGAAGACUAAGAGUGACCCUGAACACCUCCACCAAGAGCAGCUCCCUGUCCAUCAAUGCUGCCUGGCCUGAAGAUACGGCAGCAUACUUCUGUGCUACAGAUGCACAGUGUGCAGCCAGCACCUGCAGCCCUGACACAAACCCUCAGAACUGCUUCCUAGACCCAAGUGGAGCCUUGUAA